GGUCACGUUCUUAAGUUGUUGCUGAAUGUUGAAUAAGACAUUUCUCCUCCCACUUUAUUUUUGUAAUUAGUGAUUUAUUCUUGCAAAUCUUGAUAGAGGUCAGCAGCACAAUAUUCCUGUGAACUCAGGUGACGCAGACGUUAUAGGAAGGUAUUUUCCAUUUAGUAACUAAUUUAAGAAGACUGCACAUUAUCAUGAGUUGUUUCAAUACAAAAAAAGAAACUUAUUGAAGGGCAUAUGUAG
rnacentral:lncRNA from 1 species